rnacentral:tRNA from 1 species
CACUAGGAAGCUAAACACGGGCCUCGAGCGUUAGCCUUUUAAGCUAAAGAUUGGUGAUUCCCUACCACCCCCAGUGA